AUUGAACGCUGGCGGAAUGCUUUACACAUGCAAGUCGAACGGCAGCACGGGGUAACCUGGUGGCGAGUGGCGAACGGGUGAGUAAUACAUCGGAACGUGCCCAAUCGUGGGGGAUAACGUAGCGAAAGUUACGCUAAUACCGCAUACGAUCUACGGAUGAAAGCGGGGGAUCGCAAGACCUCGCGCGAAUGGAGCGGCCGAUGUCAGAUUAGGUAGUUGGUGGGGUAAAGGCCUACCAAGCCAACGAUCUGUAGCUGGUCUGAGAGGACGACCAGCCACACUGGGACUGAGACACGGCCCAGACUCCUACGGGAGGCAGCAGUGGGGAAUUUUGGACAAUGGGCGCAAGCCUGAUCCAGCCAUUCCGCGUGCAGGAUGAAGGCCUUCGGGUUGUAAACUGCUUUUGUACGGAACGAAACGGUUCUCUCUAAUACAGGGGGCUAAUGACGGUACCGUAAGAAUAAGCACCGGCUAACUACGUGCCAGCCGCCGCCGUAAAAC
rnacentral:rRNA from 1 species